GACGAAGGGGGCUAGCGUUGUUCGGAAUUACUGGGCGUAAAGCGCGUGUAGGCGGUUGGCCAAGUCGGGGGUGAAAGCCUUGAGCUCAACUCAAGAAAUGCACUCGGUACUGGGUGACUAGAGGACCGGAGAGGAUAGUGGAAUUCCCAGUGUAGUGGUGAAAUACGUAGAGAUUGGGAAGAACACCAGUGGCGAAGGCGGCUAUCUGGACGGUUUCUGACGCUAAGACGCGAAAGCGUGGGGAGCAAACAGG
rnacentral:rRNA from 1 species